GGGCGGGUUGUGUUGUUCUCUAACUACUCCUUUGCAGUAUGUAGCCCAAGUAACUCCUGAGGCCCUUACUGCGCAGCUCAGCUGCUUUUUAGUUAAAACCCAGAACCCCAGCAACAAACUGGAAAGAAAAAUGGAGGGCUUAGAAAAGGACCAUCCUUACUCGGAAUCUUCCCAGCAGCAUCCACCAGCCAGAGAGGAAUACACUGUGCCAGGGGCCAUCACGCACCGCCUGAGAGAUCGAGAGCUGCUGCGGAAAAGGAAAGCAGAGGCACAGGAGAAAGAUACUCUCCAAAAGCAAGGUACGAGCAAAGGGCCAAAGAGGGGCCGAGGAGCUGGGAGAAGAAGAGGCAGACAGCAGGGUACAGAGCCAGUGCCUCAGCCUGAAGUGCAAGAGGAGGCGGAGACGGAGCCCCCAGAGAAAGCACAGGCAUCUCCAGCGCACCAUGAGGAGGAGCCUGCCCUGUCUGUGGCUCAAGAGCCAUCUGGUGGGACUCAGCAGGAGGUGGUGGAGGGCCCCCAAGCUGAGGAUACUCUGCAUCCAGCAGAGCAUGGGGAAGAACCAAAGUCAGAAGAAGCAGGAUCAUCAGAGGCUUUGAAUAUCCCUCUGGAAAAUGACCAUACAGAUAAUGGAUACUACUCCUCUGUUUUAUUUUGAUCUUUUUUCCCUUCCCAUUGCUUUGGUCAAAGUCCAGCCCCUGUAGAAUGAUCUAGAUCUGCUAUUCCUGUGUGAGCAAUAAAAACUAAACACUUGCACCAUCGUCUCCCAUCACUGGUAUUUUGCCCACCUAGGAAUAAUGGGGAAAUUUGUUCAUUCCCCCUCCCCUUGCCCCUCAGCCAAAAAAAAAUAUACUCCCUCUAAAACUCAGCAGCUGUAUGCUCAGGACUAUACCACAGACCUUGGGCAUUCUCUUCCAGCCCCUUCCCUUCACCUGAUUCCCUCUGCUGCUCUUCCCCAGCAGUCCCUACUCCCACUGAAGUCCAGAAGUUUCCAGGGCAGAGCCAAUUUCUGGAUUGGGCCUUGCAACAUAGAAUUAGAUCGCAGGCAGCACUGAAGAGCCAGCUCUUUAUGCAGCUUUCCAGCUGGUGCUGAACAUGUAACUACAGCAUAGCUUCACAUGACUCUCCCAGAUAGACCCAGGGAGAGGGGUGUACUGGAGUUUAAUUGACUGUCCCAGCAGCUGUGUUAUUUCUCUCUAGCGGUGAUGAAUCUUAGGCCUUUCCAAAGUCUCUUCACUUUGAUCUGUGUUUUGUACUUUUCCUUUGUGGCCCCUCAUCUGCUCCCCGCAGCCCCUUCGCAGACCACGACUGAGGAAAGCUGACCUUUCACUUGUCAAACUCACUCAGACACUCCCUCUUUAGCUGCUUUGCAUAAACCAUGCACCUUGGACGUGGCUUCCUGUGUCAAAAGCACUGGGAGCACACAGGUAAGGCCAGGAAAAGGUUAAGGAAUGCACAAUGCUGUGUUUCUAGCCAACCAAAACUGGAACUGCCCUUUAAUCAGUGUCUGGAUCACAGGGAGGAUGUCGCUUACCCCCCCUGAGCAUUUGCUGGGCACAUAUCUCCACAUCCCAUGGCUAAAGACAGCCAUAGAUCCCAUGCUUACUGCUAUGCUGAAGAAGGCUAGCAAUUUCUUACUCCAUGCCUACGUGUUAUAAUGGGGAUAAAGGGUUGUCCAGGCAGGGUGGUCAGUGCCUUGCAGGAUUGAGCCCAGAAUGAACGCAAUGAAGUGGAUGCUGCAGAAUGUCCUAGCAGAAUGGGCCCCAUUCUCAGGGGUGCUGAGCUCCAUUGACUUAAACAAGAGUUGUAGGUUCUCAGCACCGCUGAAAUCAGGCAUUGUGGCCAAAAUCUUCAUAGCCAGGUUGAGGGCCUCCUCCAGCUCCCACUGAACUCGACGGAAAGUCUUCUCCUGAGCUCCAUGGAUACUGGCCUAAUUUUCAGAGAUGGGAGCCUCUGCAGCCACACUGAGUUGCUCGGGAACUGUGGGGUCUCAGCAUGUCUGGAACUGGGCUGGGUUUAUAGGGGCACCUACUUGUAGGCAUCCUGGGUUAAAAAUAUUGGCCUGUCAGUGCCUUAGUGAGACUGCAACUCCGUAGCCAAACAAUGUGUUCAGAAGGCCAAGGAGAUUUUGGCUAAAAUACAUGGUUUCUAAUCAGCUCUGGAUACUGUUACAAACUCAUUUGCACACAGAGUCUGGUGUGAGCAAGCAGGAGUGAGUGGCCAGUUAACAGUGCAUUACAAGGGCAGGCUUCAAUGUGCUGUGUGCCCUGGGCUAGCCCCACCAGUCUCUCCUUCCCCUCUCCUGAGUCUGUCUCUGUGUCAAGCUCAAUCCUCCCUUCUGGUCCCUGCCAACUCCAGGGCUCGGUGGAUGCCUAGGAUGCCUAGCUUUGCUUCUGACCAGAUGGACCCCUUAGCCCCUGCCACUCCAGUGUGCCAGCCCCUGGCUCCUCAUGGCAGGUGGAGCCAUGUAGGGUUGGUCCAAGAUCCCUCUACCCUGGCAGUACAAAGAGAUCUUAGUAGGCCCAGAGGAUCGACUCCAUAAACCCGUCAGCUUAGUGAUUAGCGCGGAUCAGGCCCUUGCAUUCAGCUUAGCAGAACUAUGACCUGUUUCCAUUGGGUGUGGAUCUUUUACUAAAUUAAUCAAAACAUUUGCUGUGCCAGGAGACCUAGUCAUGUAAAUGUGUUUCCUUCUAUUUCCUUCUCUGUCCUAUCGCACUGCCAGCAACUGCUUUACAAUCCCCUGGCUACUGAACUCCAAUGUGACAAUAUUGCCACAGGUGCUAGGGUGGAGUCGACAAGAAGUUUGAAAGCAGAAGCCAAGUGGCUGUUCCUGAUAAUUUCCAACUGAAAGCUCCCACUUUGCCAUUACAACCCUGAGUGCAGUAGAUGGCUAGCCACAGACUGCGGUCAGAAAGGAGCACACUUUCCCCUUGGCACACUGCCUUAUUCAUGGAGUCGUCUGAUGAGAUAAGCGAGGAUUGUAUCAGAGUUAUCUAUUAGAGUCAGAUGCAUCAGGUUUCUUUCCACCUAGCCUAGGACAAUAUUUUUGCCUUGACAUGUGUGCCCAAAUCUGAUGGGAGCUAGGCUGUGCAAUGCAGGACACCCAUCUCUUGCAUUCGCUAUAUCAGAGAUAUUUUUUCAUAAAACUCCAUUGAAAAUGCCAAGAAGCCAUUACCUAGCACAGCCCUGAUGUCAGACACCCCCUGAGAGCUUUCUGACGUCCCUGCAGGGUGCAGAGGAACGCACUUCUCUGCUAGAAUGAUUAAAAUGAGAGCGCUAUAGAAAGAGAGACGUCACUAAAAACAACAGCCCCAGUCCUACUGUGCCAUGUAGGUCCCACAGUGCCAAGUUAGUUGCCAGCGU